ACCUGGGUGGCUCUGUCAUUAAGCAUCUGACUUCGACUCAGGUCAUGAUCUCGUAGUUCGUGAGUUCGAGUCCCACAUCAGGUG
rnacentral:tRNA from 1 species